rnacentral:rRNA from 1 species
GACGAACGCUGGCGGCAGGCUUAACACAUGCAAGUCGAACGCAUCCUUCGGGGUGAGUGGCAGACGGGUGAGUAACGCGUGGGAACGUGCCCUUCAGUUCGGGAUAACCCAGGGAAACUUGGGCUAAUACCGGAUACGUGCGAGAGCAGAAAGAUUUAUCGCUGAAGGAUCGGCCCGCGUCUGAUCAGCUAGUUGGUGGGGGAAUGGCCCACCAAGGCGACGAUCAGUAGCUGGUCUGAGAGGAUGAUCAGCCACAUUGGGACUGAGACACGGCCCAAACUCCUACGGGAGGCAGCAGUGGGGAAUAUUGGACAAUGGGCGCAAGCCUGAUCCAGCCAUGCCGCGUGAGUGAUGAAGGCCUUAGGGUUGUAAAGCUCUUUCGUCCGGGACGAUAAUGACGGUACCGGAAGAAGAAGCCCCGGCUAACUUCGUGCCAGCCGCCGCCGUAA